rnacentral:rRNA from 1 species
UGGGGAAUAUUGGACAAUGGGCGAAAGCCUGAUCCAGCCAUGCCGCGUGUGUGAAGAAGGUCUUCGGAUUGUAAAGCACUUUAAGUUGGGAGGAAGGGCAGUAAGCGAAUACCUUGCUGUUUUGACGUUACCGACAGAAUAAGCACCGGCUAACUCUGUGCCAGCAGCCGCGGUAAUACAGAGGGUGCAAGCGUUAAUCGGAAUUACUGGGCGUAAAGCGCGCGUAGGUGGUUCGUUAAGUUGAAUGUGAAAGCCCCGGGCUCAACCUGGGAACUGCAUCCAAAACUGGCGAGCUAGAGUAGGGCAGAGGGUGGUGGAAUUUCCUGUGUAGCGGUGAAAUGCGUAGAUAUAGGAAGGAAAACCAGUGGCGAAGGCGACCACCUGGGCUCAUACUGACACUGAGGUGAGAAAGCGUGGGGAGCAAACAGG